rnacentral:rRNA from 1 species
UAGGGAAUCUUCGGCAAUGGACGGAAGUCUGACCGAGCAACGCCGCGUGAGUGAAGAAGGUUUUCGGAACGUAAAGCUCUGUUGUUAGAGAAGAACGUUGGUAGGAGUGGAAAAUCUACCAAGUGACGGUAACUAACCAGAAAGGGACGGCUAACUACGUGCCAGCAGCCGCGGUAAUACGUAGGUCCCGAGCGUUGUCCGGAUUUAUUGGGCGUAAAGCGAGCGCAGGCGGUUCUUUAAGUCUGAGGUUAAAGGCAGUGGCUUAACCGUUGUACGCUUUGGAAGCUGGAGAACUUAGGUGCAGAAAGGGAGGGUGGAAUUCCAUGUGUAGCGGUGAAAUGCGUAGAUAUAUGGAGGACCACAGGUGGCAAAAGCGGCCCUCUGGUCUGUAACUGACGCUGAGGCUCGAAAGCGUGGGGAGCAAACAGG